rnacentral:rRNA from 1 species
AUUGAACGCUGGCGGCAGGCCUAACACAUGCAAGUCGAGCGGGGUUUUCGGACCUAGCGGCGGACGGGUGAGUAAUGCGUAGGAAGCUACCCGAUAGAGGGGGAUACCAGUUGGAAACGACUGUUAAUACCGCAUAAUGUCUACGGACCAAAGUGUGGGACCUUCGGGCCACAUGCUAUCGGAUGUGCCUACGUGGGAUUAGCUAGUUGGUGAGGUAAUGGCUCACCAAGGCGACGAUCCCUAGCUGGUUUGAGAGGAUGAUCAGCCACACUGGAACUGAGACACGGUCCAGACUCCUACGGGAGGCAGCAGUGGGGAAUAUUGGACAAUGGGCGCAAGCCUGAUCCAGCCAUGCCGCGUGUGUGAAGGAGGCCUUCGGGUUGUAAAGCACUUUCAGUAAGGAGGAAGCGUUGAGUGUUAAUAGUACUCAGCGUUGACGUUACUUACAGAAGAAGCACCGGCUAACUCUGUGCCAGCAGCCGCAGUAACAC